UUUCUGAUUUCUAUUUUCUUUAUUUCUUUUAAUUCCCUUUUAUUUCAAAAAUCAAUAUCUUCUUCAUUUUUAAUCCAAAAAUUAUGGGACCAAUUGCAUUAGUCUCCAAAUAAAUUCUAGUUUCUAUUUAUGAUUUUUUAUUUUUUUUAUUUUGUCAUUUGAUAUUUUUUGUGAAUUUUCUCUUUUCUGGUUAUUAUUUAAUUCAUUUUAAAUAGUUUUUGAUAUUC
rnacentral:lncRNA from 1 species